ensembl:lncRNA
AAACUCCGUUCCUUCCUCUUUUCUUCAUCCUCUUCCACGCCAUUCAGGGGAAGUGCUGAUUUUGUUUUGCUGGCUGAGAUUGGUGUUGCUGUUACUUUUUUUCUGAGCUCUUUCCAGGAAAGCUGUGCACUUGAAGGACAGACAACACUGCAAAGAUUCCAGGGUGAGCCACAUCUCACCAUACUGCUUUUCAUGGUGUCCCUAUUCCCUGCCUCCUGCAGGUGUGCACCUGCAGUUGGUGACCGUGCACCUUAAGAGAUGUGUGGCUCUUCCUUGCACCAUCUCUGUUACUGCAGGAGGAGCUAGCAGCUAUGGCUGUGUUAGCAGCUUCAUCCUCCUGCUAUUGGGACACUUUCUUGGUGUGGUGGUGGUGGCCCUGGAUAUUCUCAUUCUCCAUUCUGGGAGCACCCGGAAGCAUCUCAAUGCAAGAGAAGCAAAAAAUCAGGAGUCAGUGUGACUACUUCAACUUGGGUGCCUUAGCAAACGCCACCAGGAACUUCCCAGCCCAGUUUGGGAGCAUCUUGAGUGCAAAGCCUAAGGCAAAAUUGAAACUGCCAUCACUGUGCUUCAGCAGGUGAGCUGUCACUAUUGGGACAUUUAGCUGACUUGUUCCAUCCCAGCAUCACUGGUCAGAUCUUUCUCCUUGAGUGGUUGCCUCCAGCACAGCCCCUCCAAAUGCAUGUCAUGCUGGAUACCCUUGCUUGUUGAAAAUAGAACAAUGACCUCAAGAGUUUUCCUUUGAAGGUGUCUUGAGGGAGAACAAAUGGGAAGGACUCAAUUGGGCCAUCUGCUCCCCUCCCAUCCGGCUGUGCUGGGCCAGGCCCUGCGAUAAGGUUGGGUGAGGGCAAUGCGUGCCAGGAGGUUUGGCUGCUGAGAGCUGGGUUGGGGCUUUUCAAAUCCCAUCGGAACACGGACUGGUCUCAGGGUGUAGAAGUCAAUGCAACCUGUGGGCAGCUGCAGCCUUUCCAGCCUGCUGUCCUUGGGCAGCUUGGACUUCUGAAGCCCAUCCUGGCUGGGCUGUAGUGUGGGGCUCAGCAGGCAAGGCCAGGACCUGGAUUCUCCACGGCCAUUCUGAUCUCUGGAGCUGGGCAGAGCGUGCCUGGGAGGAACCCUUGCUCCUGGCUGGGUGUUUGUCUCUGAGGAGCCAGGUGCUUUCCUGCAGACAUCCCUGCUGUGCAGCAGAUACAUGAUACUGAAAGAUCUUCCCAGUUCAGCAGGGCAUGAGCCCAGCAGGACUUGUAGUUUGUGCUGGAGCUGUCAAGUCCUCGUGUUAUAUAUCUGGGCGUAGUGGAUCAUGUUUCUUCCAUGACCUCAGGUGCCCCGGUGUGUUUGCUUGUUUGGAUAGGAGUUAAGGUCAAGAGAAACAGCGGUGCUGUGCUCUUAUUUUGGGUUCAGCUUUGGUUCUGGGGUAAUUGCUGCAUGUCUUCGUGACUGAGGAUGGCCAGCCCUAGGUAGGAGCAUGUCAAACCCAGCCUAGGAGCUGGGUACACCUGGCUGUGGUGAGGGGAGGAGUUAGCAGAGGCUGUGCUGAGUUACCUCUGCCUCUGUGGCUUUGUUGCCUCUUUUUUGGGAACAGAGAGCAAGACACCAUUAGCAGGGAUGGGAAUUUUCAUGUGCUUGCCCAUCCUGUGGUCCCACUCUGCAUGAUGACCAGAUGCAGCUGUCCCUGCACUGGGCAGAACAGAGAGAGAUGGUGCCCUGGGCUUGUUCUCAGCACUAUAUACCUCUUGGCACACAGGCUGGCCUCACGUGGGCUGGAGCUGCACUCAGCCAGCACCAGGACUCUGCCUUGCCCCUACCAGCCAUUGCAGGGGGCUGAGGUGUCCUCACCAUGCAGAGUCUGAACCCUGGGAUGAUGUACAUGUAAGGACCGCAGGGCCCCACUGUCUGCCCCUGGGCAUGACUUGGCUGGUGCUGAGGAUCAGGUUAGGUCUUGUGUCCAGGUGCAGGCAGCCCGGUUGCUGCAAUGUGCCUGUUCCUGCUCGGAGGGGAAUGUUGCUCACCUGCCUGGGGAGGCACAGGCACUCUCAUGGCUUUGCGCAGCCUGCCAAGCCUUAAUCUCUAUUGUUUGACAGCUGGCGUGCUGCUGACGUCAAUCCCAUGGCUCAGGGGGCUUUUUGGGGAGGAAUGGGCAAGUCUCCGCAUACACGUGCUUGCAGACGUACCAGAAAAACAUAGCACCGAAACCACAAAGGGAGAGGGAGGUGAAGAAGAAGACGGCACAAAGAGGGGAGGGCAGCACGAGGGCUGCUCCUGUACAGCAUGGCCCUGCCCUGCGAGCUGCUGGCUGACUCACAGCCAAGCCUACCCUGCUGGGUGGCAUCCCUGAUGGGGUGGAGAAUGCCACCAUACACCUCCAGCUUGCUGGGAAGUGCUGCUUGGUGCCUUCUGCCCAUGCCAAGGGUCAGCGUGUGUGUCCUGUCAGCAUGUCUUCUGCCUUUCUGGUCCUUUUCCAUCUCUUCCAUCCAGCUGAGGCUGCUGAUACUGGGAGCUGGAUGUUGGGUCAUUGCUGCCCUCCUGUUUUCGUCUGGAGGCCUAGGGCAGAGGUGUGGCUUUGUCCCUUCCUUUAUUAGAUAUCAUUAAAGAAACUGUUCUUCUCACAUGGGGUUGAACCAGCCCUGUACGUCACUGUCCUGCCUCAUGGGACUCUUUCAGGAUGUUCCCUAGAAGCCAUGCCCAGAUCACUGUUGGUGUUGGCCAGUGUGUGCCCUGCUCUACUGCUUUGCUCCCGUAGAAUAAGAUCUGCAAGCCAUGGGAGCACCACCCUGGCCAUCCUGCAGGCUGACCCCUCUUCCAUGCAUCAAAGGAUGAGAACAGUGAUCUGCAUUGCUGGUGCUGCUCCAGAGAAAGCAGAGCAUCCUUUGUGCAGGAGUGGUCCAGCUCCUCUGUGUCCGUCUCUCAAAACUUCACGGUUUGACUUUGGAGCCUGCAAAGGGUUCUCUGGGGGCUCUUGGUAUGGAGAUCGCUGCUUCCAGGCUGAGCCACUCGUGCUUCUUACAGACUUGUGACUUUAAAAACCACAUCCUGAUGGUAAUUGUUCUCCUGAGCUGGAAAUCCUGUCUGCUUUGCUCUGGGGCUUCAGCUCCCAAGUGGCUUGCGGUCUUUGGUCAACGCAGUUGAGCUUUCCCGCAAGGGAAAUGACACUUGCCCUCUGCUCAGCAGCAGCCAGCCAGGGGCUGCUCGUGCUGCCGGCCAGAAGGACUCCUCUGACACCAUCCACUCCGCUCCCUGGGUUUGUAUUCUCAGCACAACCAUCUCUAGUGGCCUUCAAUAUUUCUCAUUCAAAAUAAGCAAUCCACGAGGAGACGAAGGAGGAGGAAUCUAGGAGCCACCAUAAGUAGCUUUGAAAGGAAUUCUUUCCUUUCCUGGCUCAGCAAGCCACUUGGCUGAACCUGUCCCAAAGCCCAGCCUUUGUCAUACCUAGGAAGUGGAAACCCUUAAAGCCAUUUUGGCUCCAUGGGUAGAGCUGGAGCCCCACAGCUAAGGGGGGUCAAAGGGCUAAGAGAAGUGGAAUCACAAAAUGAGUAAUUUUCUUUUGCCUCCACCCCUUGACUGUGCAAAGGAAUACAGGCAGCCAUUUGAGCAAAUUCCUUAAUGCCUUGACUUGGGUUGCCUUUGCGUUAUGUUAGCACCACUGGCAUUGGUCUUUGUUCCUUCCUGACCACGUAUUUUUGAGGUCUUGUAAACUGAAAGUUGGAUGGUGUCCACCGGGGAAGAGUUUUAGCAAAGCAUUAGAGUUUUCAGCUAUUUCUUGGUUUGGAGGAGGGGAAAUAGGAGAGGUUGUGCCUCGGUGAGUUUUUCUGGAGGCAGCUGGAUUCCUCUGUGCAGUCAGUCAAAGGCCGUGCGUCAGCCCUCCCCCAGCAGAUGAGGCAUCCAGAAGCACGCAGGGAGUUCCUCUCGCCUGAAAUUCUGAUCUGGAGAGUUUGAGCUGUCUGAUGCCAGUUUUUGUUCAUGGAUGUAUAAAAUGCCAUUGAUCACUGAUGAAGCGCCUCGGUCCUUUGAACGCAUUUCUUAAUAUUACAGGAAAAAAAAUAGCAUGCAAAGUCUCUAGCCCUAGGAAAGACAGCAUGAACCCACAGCAUCCUUUUGUUGUUGCGAUAUCUUCUGGCCCACGUGUUGACUCCUGAGGCCAGUGGCAUAAAGCUAAUAUUCAUCAGAAUUUCACUUCUCUCAUUCCCUGCCCACAACCAACCAGUUCCAAACCGCGGUACAGACACCGUGCCCGUGCCAGGCUUCCACGUGUGCUGAGCAGGAUGAGCGCUGUGUGCAGGAUGAGCUCCAGCUGACCAACCCCACCACCCCUUAUGACUGUUCAGAAAACAUUUCGUGGAAUUUAUCAGUGCAAUUAGCAGAUUAGAGGAAAUUACCGUAAGUGAGUGUGUCAGAAGCUCUCCCAAAAAGUGCAACGGAAGGAUUGUUUUGGCGGUUAUUCAUCUUCAGCACCACGCUGGCCUGCGAAUGUUGGCUAGGAGAUUUAGAGCAGAGGUGAUGUUUUCUUCCUAAAGACUGAUUAAAAACGUUCCUUUCUUCUGCAGACCUGACCUCAGUGCUGUAAUGAUUGCAGUGUUGGUAACUGGUGUGAGAUGGCAGGAAGAUGAUAAAUCUUGCACUCAUCUGAAGAGUCAGAGAAAGUUGGUGUGGGAAAACGAUCAACCGUGUCCAAAAGAUACAACCAGCCUCAUGGCCCAGGAGUGAAGUGUCAGGAAAGGGCGAGGCAGAUGGGUUCAAAACCAUGCAAGUGAAGAAUUGGUUGGUCUGGUUCUUUGUUUGUUUGUUUUAAUCUCUUUUCCUGGAUUUUCAGGCCGUGCUUAUGGUAUCUGUAAAUGUUGUCUUGGCACAGUGAUGAUGGAAAAGUUUCACUUUUCCUGACUGUAGUCUCAUGGGACCACCAAGUUGCCUGCAGGGGAACCAUGAAAGAUCAGCCCAGGUCCUCCUGCUUGUCCCACACUCCUUUCCAACAUGCUCUUCCCAAGAAGCCAGAGGCCACAGUGCUAUUCCCUGUUCUCUCCCCAGCUCUAGUGCUACUCAGCUGCUCUGGUUUGGUUUAUUUAGAUUUUGUCUUUGUUUUCUAUUCUGUCAGCUUGUCUCCUCUUGAAGGUCUGUGAGCUCUGUUGUCCUUCCAUCCCAUUAAGAAGUGGGAUCUUUGGAUUGUUUUCUCGGAUUCUCUUCUGAUACUGCCUGGGGCCUUGUAGGGUCUGAAUGUCUGGGGAGAUCCUGGACCAUCCCCUCUCCAAAAUACCCCCUAGCCUGGGUUUGAGCUGAGCAGUCUUGUCUUGAAGAUGGCUGUAGCAGUUGAUCACUUCCACCAUUGAGCAGCGUGAUCUUAGCAGGAUUUGGCUUUCUCUCAGAGUUUUGCUGGCAGGCACCAUCUCCCUUGUGGCCAGGGGCUGGUGGCACUGAGUUCCUCUUUGCUCAGCGAGGAGCUCAGUGUCAGCUUAAGAACUCCCUUGCCUUUUGAGGCUAUGGCCUCCUGAUAGGGCCCCAUUUGGAUUAGAGCCCCAGAGGUUGGCAUUCCGCUGUGUGGUUUCUGCAUCCAGCAGUGACGUGAUGGGGGUUGGAGGGCACACAGUGCCUUCAAGGGGGUCCUGGCCUCGUGCCUUGCAAGGAGGAGACCAUCUCAUCCUUCAGCAAUGCGAAUUGCUUCCGCCCUGGGGGAACCUUCAGUACUACCUCCAGCCCCAGUGCAUGGUUGCAAGUCAAUGCCAAAGUUUUGCAGAAGCUUAUCCAGCAGUCAAUAAGCGCAGAUGUUAAUAAGCUGAAAGACCUGGGAGCGGUAAUUAGCGAGAGGAAGAAGAGGAGGAAAAGAGGGGGCAUGUUUUUCUCUUGCUCCAAGCAGCAGUUGAGAAAGACAAGGUUUUGCACGUGUACAGGUGCCAUUAUGGGGGAAGCCAGGGGGAAACAGCCUGAGGCCAUGCACGUCCUCAUCUUUCCUUCAAAGAGCUUAGCGUGUUUCAUCUGUACUUCAUGCCAUGCGACACCAAAACUCUUCAUUCCUCCUGUAAAAGCCAAUCGCCCCCCAGCAAUCCCCUUGACAGCACUGCAAAUGGCUCAGGAAUAGUUAAUCUCAAACUCAAGGUCAAGAAGCAAAUGGGAAGAGAGGGGCAGCAAAACAGGAUCUGCCCUGUUUGCUGCCCAGAGCACCAGCUUGGCCCCACUACUGGGCAUAAUGGGGAGACCGGGGCAGCACUGGGGACAGCAGAGGAGGAAAGUAACAUACACAAACAUGGAUCCAUUGGAAAUUGGGCUGCUUAACCCUCCCAACACCAGAACAGCUUCUUUACUUCACAGACUUCAGGCUUGCAUUGAUUUCUUUAAGUUCUGCCUUCGUGUUUGGAUUUCUGCAGUUCUCUGUUGUAUUGGAGCCCAGCACAUUCAUAUUUAACUGGGGAAUAAAAGCGUGGGCAGGGGGUACCUCUUCAGACCUGUGUUUUCCUCUGUGUCGUGAAAAGGUACCUCCUCCAUCAGUGUUGCAUCUAAUGGAAGUGCUGCAGAAAAUGGUGGCAUGGGAGACCCAGUGUGGAUGCCCUGUGCCCCAGGCCAGUGGGGUAAGGAGCUGGAAAAGGACUGGGUUUGCCAUAGUACAUUUUUCAAUGAAUGGGAACUUGCAUUUUAAAAGGACAUUAUCUCAUACAAGCUUUGAGCAAAUCAGACCACAGAGAAUUCUCCACACCUUACACCUGCAGCAUCGCUGUGCCAUCCCCAGCAGCACUUGCAAGCUCAAGCUGGGAAACGAUGCAUGGGGUCCUGCAGCAACCCCAGUGAUGCUGAGGCUGUGCCAAACUCUUCUCUUCUGAAGAUGGGGUUCCCAUGGCUGAUUCCUCUGGGGAAGAUGCUGGAUGCGGCAUG